rnacentral:antisense_RNA from 1 species
ACAUAUCCGGACGCAACCGUCAUGGCUACUGUCAGUGAGGGCCCGUAAUGGAGAUCGAGUCAAGGGUUGCCCAGGGACACUUAGACCCUUCGGCUUCAAGGAGGCCUCUCAAAGGACAAAGGAUGAGACUGCCUGGCGGCAGAGUGCCCCCCACAAUCCUAGGAACUGUGUCGCCGCGCUUCCCGUUAACUUGCCGCUAAGUUUUUCUAGAAAAGUCGCCCUUCUUGCCAGGGGUGUCCUAUAGACUUUGUCAUGGAGUGAAACAGAAACAAAUAAUGGCCUGUCCAGAAGACAGCCAAAUACAUCCUUCAAAUAGACUUCACUGCAGGAGACAGAGUGGAUUCAUCCCGUAUUCUCCACAUGGACUUCCAUCUUCAUGAGUACUCCAAGAAGGUGGUUCAGUUGACUAUUGCAAAG